GAUACCUCACGCUACUACUGAGGUUGUCCACCCCACACCAGACCGGCACACUGACCCUGAUCGACCCCCACCCCACCAAACUCUCUCUCUCUCCUCUCAUCCACAUCCGCCGCCGCACUCAUCCGCCCGGCGAUCCCACCGGCCGGCGCCUUCCGCCCUCAUCCUCUCCACCUUCCCCCACCUUCUAUCCAUCUAUAUGCCCCUAGACUAGAUCGAGCAGGCGGGCGCCGUCAGAUCGGGAACGGUCAUGCCCACGGCGGGGCAUCUAGAUCCGCGCCGCCGUCGAUCCAGGACGCGACGUUCGGCUCCUUCUCCACAUCCACGCCAAGGGUGACGAGGAGUGAGGGGGCUUCCUCCCCGCGCUCUCUCUCGGGACGCCGACAUCUCCGACCCAUGACGAGCAGCUCAGUCAAGGUAUCACCCCCCCCCCCCCCCCCCCUCUCUAAUUGCAUCUGAUCUGGGCUUCUCUCCAGAACUAGUGCGUGAAGGAUUUUUCCCCUUUCUUCUUCCCCGAGCACGAAUCCAUGGCGGCACGCAGCACAGGUUUGUCCCGGUCGUUGGCGUCUUCGUGGCCCCGCCGCAAACCUUGGUCCUUCGAUCCUGUACAGAGAGUCGCCGUAUGCGUACGACCCGCCGCUCAAUUGCAGAAUACCCCUCGAUGGAUUUCCUGGGAGAAAAUAUAACAAAUGCAUGCUAAGGACGGAUCGUGAUUUGGUGGUCGAGCCUAUGUCAACCACUGGUUCCACUCAGCCGAGCAGGCCAGACAUAAGGUCUUCACCUUGAGCAUCCAGUGAGAGUGUCAGGGCUCGCAAUUCAGGUUCUAGUUCCAGAUCAGCUGCCCUGCCACCAGCAGCACCACAAGCAGGGGCUGCAAACCCUUUACGUUUCGAUGCAAAGACUAUACAUUUCUCCGUAAAUGCCUGGGCACUCAGGAAGGUGCCAAGGAGAUGCUGGACCAAGGCGUGGAGGCACUAUGAGCUGAAGAGCACAUAGCUGCAGAUGCUGGAGGCUGGCCUGGUGAGCCGAGGAUUGGAGGUAGCGCUGAUUGGUGUUUUUAUGGAGAGAUAGGAUGCCACUGUUUGGUGUUUUUAUGCAUUUUGGUUUGCUUGUAACUGUGUUUGCACUAGCUGGGAGUAAGUGACUUGGCAAGAAGUGUAGGUGUUUUAAUUGAAGGCAUGAAAAGCCAUGACAAUAUGUAUGCUCUUACAGGAUGUGCUCUAAUGCCGCUGGUUUAUUAUAAAUCUUGGAUUAGUAAUGAUGUGUAAUGCUGUUGGUUUAUUGCAAAUAUGUGUUUGUUUUAGUUGGAA